rfam:Apis mellifera strain DH4 linkage group 9, whole genome shotgun sequence.
UUAUAAUGAUGCUUUGCCAUGCUAAUACCGAAAGAUCAUGCUAAUAUGCUUUGGAUCUUGAUGAGUUAAACUUCAAAAAUAACUGAAUAUU